rnacentral:rRNA from 1 species
GAUGAACGCUAGCUACAGGCUUAACACAUGCAAGUCGAGGGGUAACGAGAGGAAAGCUUGCUUUCCUUGUCGACGACCGGCGCACGGGUGAGUAACGCGUAUCCAACCUGCCCCCAACUAGGGAAUAACCUUGCGAAAGUAAGACUAAUACCCUAUAAUUUCCUCAGAUGUCAUCUGACGAGGAAUAAAGAUUUAUCGGUUGUGGAUGGGGAUGCGUCUGAUUAGCUUGUUGGCGGGGUAACGGCCCACCAAGGCAACGAUCAGUAGGGGUUCUAGGAGGAAGGUCCCCCACAUUGGGACUGAGACACAGGCCAAACUCCUACGGGAGGCAGCAGUGAGGAAUAUUGGUCAAUGGGCGGAAGCCUGAACCAGCCAAGUAGCGUGCAGGAUGACGGCCCUAUGGGUUGUAAACUGCUUUUAUACAGGAAUAAAGUUAGCCACGUGUGGUUAUUUGUAGGUACUGUAUGAAUAAGGACCGGCUAAUUCCGUGCCAGCAGCCGCCGUAA